UCACUUUUUUUUUAUACCAUGAUCACGAAGGUGGUUUUCCCAGGGCGAGGCCCAUCCAUUGCGCUCCAGAUGCACUGGCCCCUGCAAUCUCCCCAGAUGUGGGAAAUUCAACUGCAUAAUUUGUGGUAGUGGGGGACUGCGUUCCCACUCUCCCCUG
ensembl:snRNA U1 U1 spliceosomal RNA